rnacentral:tRNA from 1 species
UGGAGGAUAAUUUAACUGGAAAAAUAUCAGUUUGCAAAACUGAAAAUGUCGUCGGUUCGAGUCCCGCUCCUCCUC